UACGUAGGGGGCAAGCGUUGUCCGGAAUCAUUGGGCGUAAAGAGCGUGUAGGCGGUCCGGUCAGUCGGUUGUGAAAGUCAAGGGCUCAACCCUUGAAUGCCGGCCGAUACUGCCGGGCUAGAGUCCGGAAGAGGUGAGUGGAAUUCCUGGUGUAGCGGUGAAAUGCGCAGAUAUCAGGAGGAACACCGAUGGCGAAGGCAGGUCUCUGGGCCGCUACUGACGCUGAGAAGCGAAAGCAUGGGGAGCGAACAGG
rnacentral:rRNA from 1 species